UACGUAGGGGGCAAGCGUUGUCCGGAUUUAUUGGGCAUAAAGAGCGUGUAGGCGGUUUGGUAGGUCCGCUGUGAAAACUCGAGGCUCAACCUCGAGACGCCGGUGGAAACCAUCAGACUAGAGUCCGGAAGAGGAGAGUGGAAUUCCUGGUGUAGCGGUGAAAUGCGCAGAUAUCAGGAGGAACACCGGUGGCGAAGGCGGGUCUCUGGGCCGAUACUGACACUGAGGAGCGAAAGCGUGGGGAGCGAACAGG
rnacentral:rRNA from 1 species